GGCCCGACCGGCCGGUCCGCCUCACCGCGUGCACUGGUUCGGUUGGGCCUUUCCCUCUGGGGAACCGCAUGUCCUUCACUGGGCGUGUCGGGGAACCAGGACUUUUACUUUGAGGAAAACAGAGUGUUCAAAGCAGGCCUAUGCUCGGAUACGUUAGCAUGGAAUAAUAGAAUAGGACGAAGGUUCUAUUUUGUUGGUUUCUAGGACCGUCGUA
rnacentral:rRNA from 1 species